GACGAACGCUGGCGGCGUGCUUAACACAUGCAAGUCGAACGGAAAGGCCCUGCUUGCAGGGUACUCGAGUGGCGAACGGGUGAGUAACACGUGGGUGAUCUGCCCUGCACUUCGGGAUAAGCCUGGGAAACUGGGUCUAAUACCGGAUAGGAGCCAUUUUUAGUGUGUUGGUUGGAAAGUUUUUUCGGUGUAGGAUGAGCUCGCGGCCUAUCAGCUUGUUGGUGGGGUAAUGGCCUACCAAGGCGGCGACGGGUAGCCGGCCUGAGAGGGUGGACGGCCACAUUGGGACUGAGAUACGGCCCAGACUCCUACGGGAGGCAGCAGUGGGGAAUAUUGCACAAUGGGCGCAAGCCUGAUGCAGCGACGCCGCGUGGGGGAUGACGGCCUUCGGGUUGUAAACUCAUUUCGCUAGGGACGAAGCUUUUUGUGACGGUACCUAGAUAAGAAGCACCGGCUAACUACGUG
rnacentral:rRNA from 1 species